CUUGAAUAAUCAUAAGAGGUCCAGCCUGCCCAGUGAUAUAAUUUAACGGCCGCGGUACCCUGACCGUGCAAAGGUAGCAUAAUCACUUGUUCUCUAAAUAAGGACUAGUAUCAACGGCAUCACGAGGGUUAUACUGUCUCCUCUUUUUAAUCAGUGAAACUGACCUCUCCGUGAAGAGGCGGGGAUAGUUAUACAAGACGAGAAGACCCCAUGGAGCUUUAAACCCAAUGACAGCCCACACAAGUUUUACCCUAAAAUGAACAAAGCAAUGUUUAUUGGUUUUAGGUUGGGGUGACCACGGAGAAAAACCAAACCUCCACGAUGAAUGGACCUUAAUCCUAAUCUACGAGAUACUACUCCAAGAAUCAAUAAUUUGACAUAAUAUGAUCCGACAACGAUCAACGAACCA
rnacentral:rRNA from 1 species